rnacentral:rRNA from 1 species
CCUACGGGAGGCUGCAGUAGGGAAUAUUGCUCAAUGGGGGAAACCCUGAAGCAGCAACGCCGCGUGGAGGAUGAAGGUUUUAGGAUUGUAAACUCCUUUUGUUAGAGAAGAUUAUGACGGUAUCUAACGAAUAAGCACCGGCUAACUCCGUGCCAGCAGCCGCGGUAAUACGGAGGGUGCAAGCGUUACUCGGAAUCACUGGGCGUAAAGGGUGCGUAGGCGGGGUAAUAAGUCAGAUGUGAAAUCCUGUAGCUUAACUACAGAAGUGCAUUUGAAACUGGUACUCUGGAGUGUGGGAGAGGUAGGUGGAAUUCUUGGUGUAGCGGUAAAAUCCGUAGAGAUCAAGAGGAAUACUCAUUGCGAAGGCGGCCUACUGGAACAUAACUGACGCUGAUGCACGAAAGCGUGGGGAGCAAACAGGAUUAGAUACCCGGGUAGUC